AAGAAGAAAGAGGAGGAGAAAGAAAAGAUGUCUUCAUUACAGUACUUUUCUUCAUCUUUAUCCUUUUUUUCUUGCUUUUCUUUCUUCUUCUUCUUCUGGUACCUGUGUUAGCGACAUCGUUAUUAACA
rnacentral:ribozyme from 15 species